rnacentral:rRNA from 1 species
GACGAACGCUGGCGGCGUGCUUAACACAUGCAAGUCGAACGGUGAAGCGCCUUCCUUUUUGGUGGGUGUGGAUGAGUGGCGAACGGGUGAGUAACACGUGAGUAACCUGCCCCCUUCUUCUGGAUAACCGCAUGAAAGUGUGGCUAAUACGGGAUAUUCUGCUUCUGUCGCAUGAUGGGUCUGGGAAAGAUAUUGUUUCGGUGGGGGAUGGGCUCGCGGCCUAUCAGCUUGUUGGUGGGGUGAUAGCCUACCAAGGCGGUGACGGGUAGCCGGCCUGGGAGGGUGGACGGUCACACUGGGACAGAGACACGGCCGAGACUCCUACAGGAGGCAGCAGUGGGGAAUAGGGCACAAUGGGCGCAAGCCUGAUGCAGCGACGCCGCGUGAGGGAUGGAGGCCUUCGGGUUGUGAACCUCUUUCGCCAGUGAAGCAGGCCUGCCUCGUUUGUGGGUGGGUUGACGGUAGCUGGAUAAGAAGCGCCGGCUAACUACGUG